rnacentral:lncRNA from 1 species
CUCUUGCCUGUUGCCGUGUGAGGUGGGGUUUUGCUUCUCCUUUGCCUUUCGCCAUGAUUGUGAAGCCUCCCCAGCCACGUCGAACUAAAAUGAGAGGAUGAGAGUCUGAAAUGACUGGCAAAUAUCACUGUGCACUGAUCGCUGCCAUGGGAACAAAGGAAAGAUACCUCACUCAGGUGAAGAGAAAGAGAGGGGACAAAUGAAGGGAGACACAAAACGGCGUGAUGAUAAAGAAAUACAGGCUCUGAAAUGGCAUGUGAUUUGCCCAAAGUCAGUGAGCUACUAAGUGAGAGGUGGAAGAGAAAGUGAGGUGCCUGUCUUUAGAACUCAGACCUUUAUCUUCAUCUUCUGAAAGAAAUGAAAAUGUGCUCAAAAUCCUGCCACUGGGAACUAUCAACAGAAUUUACAGAUCAUUAGACAUUUCUCCACGCAUACUACAAAUAAAAGGAUGGAAGAAAGAACAGAGAUUUUUUUGUGAAAAUAAGAUAUUGUAACAUGCUCUUUUUAAACAAAGGUACAACAUUAGAAUUUAAACUCAAC